rnacentral:rRNA from 1 species
UACGGAGGGUGCGAGCGUUGUCCGGAAUCACUGGGCGUAAAGGGCGCGUAGGUGGCGCGGGAAGUCAACGGUGAAAGUUCGGGGCUCAACCCUGAAUCGGCCGUCGAUACUCCCGGGCUCGAGCACUGUAGAGGCAGAUGGAAUUCCGGGUGUAGCGGUGGAAUGCGUAGAGAUCCGGAAGAACACCGGUGGCGAAGCGGUCUGCUGGGCAGUUGCUGACACUGAGGCGCGACAGCGUGGGGAGCAAACAGGAUUAGAACC